AUACAGCCGAGACGUCUCUCGUUCAAGCGGAGACGUCUCCGGAGCGCCUGGGACGCGACUGACACACUUUUGCAGGUUUGUUUGAAUUUCAAACGGUAAUAUUUUUGUGUCUAACGGAUCUAUUGCUUGUAGGACUAUAAAAAGGAGCUUUUAAGUGCCUUUAAAUAUCUUCUCACCAACCAAACACAAGAUCAUUCAAGAGAGAAGAAAGAGAAAGAGGUUCAAGGGAGUUAGUGCUUUCAAGAGGAGAAAUCAAGUGCAUUCAAGUCUUCCUCAUCUGAUUUCGUGCUCAUCUACUCACUCCCACUCGGCAAUCAAAGCUCGCAUUCAAGCCAACGUGAUCCACAUCGGAAGAACCACCAUCACCCACGCUUUCAACGGCAAAAAGGGUUCUUCCGAUUUUGUUGUUUCUCAUUGUUCUAUUUGCUUUCAUAAGAGCUUUUAAAUCUUUGUAAAACAUUUGAAUAUUGUGCUUGUUCCAGUCAAGGGACUUGGAACAAGGGAUAGGCGUCCCAAGCCUAGGUUAAAUUGGGGGAUUGUAGGGUUCGUUGUUAGCCCGGGGUAAAACAACGAGUUGGGUAGUUCACUCGAAA
rnacentral:lncRNA from 1 species